rnacentral:lncRNA from 1 species
ACUUUAGAACAGCUAAGCGAAACCGUCCUUCUAGGUGUAUCCGUCUAUAUUCCUCUCACAACCAAAGUUCAUGAUACCUAAGCUUCUGAGAUUGUAACAGCAGAAGAGGAAACCCUGGAGGGCUGAACCUCUAGUUCAAUCAACAAUUUAUAGUAAUGGAAGUAUUUACAGCUACCGUCUGCGAAUAGUGAACGUCACCAUUUUGUUAAAGAUAUUAAAAUAUAUUACUUUUAGCUCAUCGCUCAGGAACUAGAGAAUCUAUGGAAAAAAUUUGAUUUUCCAUGUAUAACAUUAAAGUCUGUUGUAAGAAAAGUAAAAACUCUGUUGACAAGGUAUGAUACCCAUUUGAAUGUCUGAAACCAGGUCAAAAUUUUGAAGAUUUGUUUGACAUUACUAAUCAACAUGGGAGCUGGUUAUCUAAAAAAGACAAAGACUUUUACAGUACACAAAUUCAAAAUGGCAGUAUAACUGGCUACACCAUGUCUCAGUUAGCUAUGGUUCAUCUUUCAAAACGAACACCUUCUUCAUUAAGAGUGUCAGCUUCAACUUCACAAGCAUUUCUAAAGCAGAUACAUCAUCAGAAACCUCUACUUCUGAUUCUGCAGAUGAAAUUACAUUACCAAUAGAUGAACAAGUUGGCACCUCUAAACAACAAUAUCAUUCAACUCAGAAAGCAAUGAACUUACUGAAAAAAAAAUGAAUUUAAGCAGUCAUAAAGCAGCCAAUGUCUGCAAACAGCUGAGAGAGGAAGGAGUACUUCUCUCUACUCCGUCACAGUCAGGUGUGUACAAAGCUGUUAUGAGAGAGGCUGCAAAGAGGAAGCAGGAACUAAAAGAAACUUUAAAAAAUGACAAGUGGGUGCUCCAUUUUGAUGGAAAGAGGCAAGUUGUGGUAGUGAAAAACAACACAAGAGAAAUUAAAUUAGCAGCACUAACUCUGAAGAAUGGCAGAGCAGAUACCAUUUUUCAAGGACUAAAGGAAGUUUUAGAUGAUUACGAAUUGUGGCCAGCAAUCAAAAUGAUCAUCACAAACACAUGUAGUGUAAAUACAGGAAAGCAUACUGGAGUGGUCAUUCAACUCAGAAUGAAUUUGUAAAGCAUGGAUAUUCUGCACCUCAAUACAUUGGUUGCCAAUAUCAUGUGUUAGACCGCCUCCUAAAACAUGUGAUGGAUGAUACACUGAAAGGAAAAACUGCAUCACCAAAUAUAUCAUAUCCGUUCAUAGAAGAUUUAAUAGAAAAAAAAACUAUGAGGAUUUGAUGGCAGAAUGGAAACAAGGCAAAGCAAAACUUCAAAUGGAUGAUAAUUCAGGUUGGAGAGAUGACCUUCAGUUUGAACUUGGUCGUGCUUUCUAGUUUUAUCAGCAACAAAGCAUUUUCCCAGAAACUAAGUUUAGAAACUUCUUAGACUUAGCAACGCAUGUUGGAAUUCACAAGCAAUCUUGGCCAUCCUCACUUACAUGCUUCUACCACAAAGUAGGGAAAAACUCUACAACAUGUGUUGUUUUAUCAAUGGAAACUGGAUGGAAAUGUGGUUUUGUUACCUAAGUUUUGACAGCAUGGCCUACCAGAAACUUUCAGAAGUUUCUGGAUAUAUUAAAGCAAGGAAAUGUUUGAAAGGUAAUUGGAAUCUUGAAGAAUCAGUAAUUCAAGAUGUUCAGCGUUCAAACAUAUGUGCUGAACGUGCAGUAAAAAUAAUGGAGGAAUUAGAUUGCAGGUCUUCUGAAAAAUUGAAUCUUCAAUUUGUUUUAACCAACAAGGAUCUUUGAAAACUGCUGUUGUAUUAGGCUGCACUUACCACAUUAACAAUGUAUAACUGUACGUCUUGUUACUUGAACAAUAUACGUAUAUCCAUAGUAAAAAUGUUGUCAAAUAUAUUGUCAUCAGUGGGGAAAUUUUUUGUGUCAAAGAAAGAAAUGAUUUUGUCAUUAUAACAUAAAGUUCACCUUCUGGUACCUUGGCCUUACUCGACUUAAAAAAAGUCAUCACCCUAAUGGCGAAUUAAUACUGUUGUUUUGGAACAGCUUGGAUCUUGAGGUAUUUGUGAUCAUCCUGGACCUAGACAUUAAGAUUAAGGUACUGGAUGUAAACAGUAGUGAAGGUGAUGCCUUCAGACUAAAAGCUGUCUAUGUUGUAAAUGGAAAAAGAUAUCCAGAUUUCUUCAAAUGUCUAAAAGCAUUUUUUGGCACAUCCUGCUCUUUAGUACUAGUAGGAAACUGGAAUGGCAUUUUAGAUGCAUGCUGGGUUUAGGAGUGGAGUGUAAAAACCUCACAAAACUGCUCAGACAGUUACAAUUGCCUGCCAUGUACCAACUGGAUUUCUCAAAUGCACCAGUGUAGACAAAGAACCACCACUAGAUCAUCUAAAUUGUAUCUAGAUAGGGUAUUUGUUACAAUGGGGAAUAAAGAUAGUGCCAAAUGUCCAGCUUCAACUGAUUGGUUAUGCAAACUACAAAUUUGUGAUCUGUACAGUUAACUUAGAAUGCAUAGACAAGGCUACAGCUACUAAGAGAUUAAUGCAUCAUUCCCAGUAAGCAAAGCUUACAGUGGCUGGAUUAGCAAAUUAGUUAAGCAGAAGUUGACAGGAGCAACUAUCAAUAACUGGGUAUAGCAUUCUAAAGAAAGUGAUUAUAAAAACAGAUCAAGAGAACUAGAUAAGACGUGAUUAGGAAAAGUAUCAUGACAGAUGUGCUAGUGGUGAGACCGGCUCUCAAUCGUUUCUUCAAAAUGAAACAUAAAAAAUACAUUGUCAGAAUUAAGUGCUUGCUCACUUCAACAUACUAUAGUAUUUGCAUGGCAGUCAAAGCUAAUGACCACGAACUGAAACUGCUUUAAAUCAUAUGCUCAGUGUACCAAAGAUAAUUAUCUAUAUGUACUGAAUCACAAGUCGCCCCUGUGGAAACUGUCAAUGCUGAGAAGCAUCUGAUUUGAACAGUGGUGCAGAAGAACUGUUUCUAUAUAUAUGGAUAACAUCACCAUAAUGGUAUCAGACACUACAGAUGUUAUGGUAAUAGAGACCAUUCUAAAGAAAUAUGAGGUGGUGACAGGAGUAAAAAAGUAACCCAAAGAAAUCAGUGGGCUUGUAAUCUGGCACCUAGAGAAGCAAGUCUUUGUUGAUUAAGUUGCUUGAGGUCUGAUUUUGACCUACAAGUGAGAGAAGGUUAUGAAUAAUCUAUCUCACACAGAAAUGGGCUAAGUGGGGAAAGGUUAGGCAGAGGUGAUAAAUAUGUAAAAUGCAUCUGUUGAAUAUUAUUAACCAAUUAUGUACAGGUCUGACUGUGUGGUUAAGAAACUUGCUUCCCAACCAUGUGAUCCCAGGUUUUUGGGUGUGUGUCUUCAAUUACAGCCUGUGGUCAACCAAAGCCUUAACCUAGAAUGUAUAGACAAGGAUACAGCAUGCAUCUAAAGCCUUUCUCAGUACAUACUUGUCAGCAUUUUGCCCAUCUUUACGUUCUGAAUUCAAAUUCCACCAAGGUCUA